GUUAAAAAGCUCGUAGUCGGAUUUCAGUUUGUUUAUGCAUGAGCCUUGUGUUCUUUGCGUCGACUUACUUCAUGACAGAAACAUUCAUGCUCUUAAUUGGGUGUGUUUACUUACUGUCUCUUUUACUUUGAGAAAAUUAGAGUGUUCAAAGCAGGUAUUUGCCUGAAUAUUACUCUUGGAAUAAUAAUAUAGGACUUCAGUCUUAGUUUGUUGGUGAACCGGGACCGGAGUAAUGAUUGAUAGGGACAGUUGGGGUCAUUCAUACUGCAAAGCGAGAGGUGAAAUUCUUGGACCUUUGUAUGAUGAACAACUGCGAAAGCAUUUGACUAGGAUGUUCCCGUUGAUCAAGAACGAAAGUUGGGGGAUCGAAGACGAUCAGAUACCGUCGUAGUCCCAACCAUAAACUAUGCCAGCUAGGGAUGGGAGGAUGUUUACUAACGACUCCUUCCGCACCUUAUGAGAAAUCAAAGCAUCUGGGUUCCGGGGGGAGUAUGGUCGCAAGGCUGAAA
rnacentral:rRNA from 1 species